CCUGGCUUUUUUUAUUUUAUUUUAAAAAGUCUAUCUUCUUCCUUUCUUCUUCAUUGUGAGCGAUGAAAACAUGGCAAUACCAAGUACCAACUAAGCUUUUCCAAAUUCUCUGCCAUAAGGGAUUUGGCGGCGGACUACGGGUUGUGAGUUGUGUGAUAGUGUAUUUUGAGCAGUGCUGUUUGGGUAGUGGGAUCGUUGCGCGAUUGGCGGUGAAAGAUUGGGUGGCAGAAUUCGCACAAGGGGUUGUGCGGGGAUCCGAAAACCGCCUACGGUGGCAUGAGGUCUUGGAUGUGGAGUGGUUGCGGGACCGACAGUUAAAGAGGAGCGGUGGUGACGGUGGUAUUGGUGAAGAAAGGAGAAUUAGGGCUGCCAUAAUAUAUUUUGUAAAAGUGCAAUUUGAUCCCCUAUGUUUCGAUCAUCCCUUAUUUAAGGUCACUUUGAAGAAUUAAAUUUUUUUAUUUAGG